rnacentral:rRNA from 1 species
UACGUAGGGGGCUAGCGUUGUCCGGAAUCAUUGGGCGUAAAGCGCGUGUAGGCGGCCCGGUAAGUCCGCUGUGAAAGUCCAGGGCUCAACCCUGGGAUGCCGGUGGAUACUGUCGGGCUAGAGUCCGGAAGAGGCGAGUGGAAUUCCUGGUGUAGCGGUGAAAUGCGCAGAUAUCAGGAGGAACACCAAUGGCGAAGGCAGCUCGCUGGGACGUGACUGACGCUGAGACGCGAAAGCGUGGGGAGCAAACAGG